rnacentral:rRNA from 1 species
CUCGUAGGCGGUUUGUCGCGUCGGCCGUGAAAACUUGGGGCUUAACCCCAAGCUUGCGGUCGAUACGGGCAGACUUGAGUUCGGCAGGGGAGACUGGAAUUCCUGGUGUAGCGGUGAAAUGCGCAGAUAUCAGGAGGAACACCGGUGGCGAAGGCGGGUCUCUGGGCCGACACUGACGCUGAGGAGCGAAAGCGUGGGGAGCGAACAGGAUUAGAUACCCUGGUAGUCCACGCCGUAAACGGUGGGUGCUAGGUGUGGGGGGCUUCCACGCCCUCUGUGCCGCAGCUAACGCAUUAAGCACCCCGCCUGGGGAGUACGGCCGCAAGGCUAAA